rnacentral:rRNA from 1 species
GGUGGUUCUGAAUGGAAGGGCCAUCGCUCAACGGAUAAAAGGUACUCCGGGGAUAACAGGCUGAUACCGCCCAAGAGUUCAUAUCGACGGCGGUGUUUGGCACCUCGAUGUCGGCUCAUCACAUCCUGGGGCUGAAGUAGGUCCCAAGGGUAUGGCUGUUCGCCAUUUAAAGUGGUACGCGAGCUGGGUUUAGAACGUCGUGAGACAGUUCGGUCCCUAUCUGCCGUGGGCGCUGGAGAACUGAGGGGGGCUGCUCCUAGUACGAGAGGACCGGAGUGGACGCAUCACUGGUGUUCGGGUUGUCAUGCCAAUGGCACUGCCCGGUAGCUAAAUGCGGAAGAGAUAAGUGCUGAAAGCAUCUAAGCACGAAACUUGCCCCGAGAUGAGUUCUCCCUGACCCUUUAA